AAUAUGAGUUGUGAACCAAAGAACGAAUGAUAACAAGUUGCUUACUUAAACCUAAAGGGUAAAUACAAAAGUACCUCAGAACGCAGCUUCGGGAGAGGGAACUGAAUCCAGAAGAAUACAGCCACGAAGAAGCACCAACGGGCCGGGACUCCUCCAGAAUCUCUACUCCUCUACUUAAUCUCUCUAAUCUCUAAACAAAACUAGAUCUAGAAGAACUAGUCUCUCCUAAUUGCUACAUCUAGAUGAACUAGAACUAGAUCAACUAGAGUUACCCUAACCCUAAUUAUGUAGAGAAUAUGAAGCACCGCCGUGUAGAAUACCCCUUAGGGGGAGCCUUGGCGUCAUUAUAUAGACUGAGGUGGAGUAGGGGGCAACGAACCGCCACGUCAGCGAUCCGCGUCUUCAUCUUAUGUGCACCGUCGGAUCAAACUGACUUAAGAUUGACGGAGGGAUAGUUCGCUUGGCUUCCAAGGAUGCGUAGGAGGAAGACUCUAGAAGAUGGUGGACAUUGGCCAAAAUAGGGCGCUGACCAGCCCCAGGGUCGGGCCGGCCGGCCCCACCUUUCCACCUCCUCGGCUCUCGUUCCUUUGGGUGUCUUCUAGACCCUUCUUGAGUCUUCUCGUGGUAUUUUCCGACACGGAUGAGUUUCGUGGUAAAUAUGCAGAAUCCCUCUUUUCAUCUUUCUAUAAAAUAAACUCUAGAAAACACAGAAUAUGCAAAACUCGUGAAAAUUUUUAGUUUAAACCCUAUACUAGUGUGUAUUCUUGUUCUCUUUUGGGUUUAAAGUUCUAAUAAAAGUUGACGUUAUCGACCGUCAACAGUAUGGAAUAUGGUGAAUAGGUGUAUUUGUGGUAUUUGUGGCUAAUUUAUAUUUCGUUGGGAAUAACUCUAUAUUGAGACUUUUUAGGCAAGACAUGGGUUAUCUUUGUUAUUCUCUUUUUUUCUCUCUCUUUUUUUUUCUUCUCUCUUUUUUUAACACAGGGAGGCAAGCAUCUAGUACCCAUUAUUUUCAUUAUUGGGACACUUGUCCAUCUUUUACUCCCUUUUCUUCUUUUAUAUUUUUGCAUAGCCACAUGUAUCCUUUGAAUACAAUAAAUGAUUAGAGAGGUAAUAACAAAAACUUAGAACAUUAAAGACGAGGGUUAUCCUAUGGGUUGUUUGUUGGUGUUUACUUCCAGUGUAGGAAUAAUGCAUAUAUGAACUGGAAUGUGUAUGCGAUCUUGAUUUAGAAAGCAUGACAAGACUCUCAUAACGUAUACGACAAAGGUUGACUAAACUCAAUGCAAAGUAAGCAGCAUAAAUGUGCAAAUGUCUUCCUAACUCUAAAUGUGUAUUAUAUAUGGCUUUGGUAGGAAUUAACACUUUGUUAUACAAGAGCUCAUCAUGUAGGUUUUUAGGUUUUCAAAAUAAGUCUCUAGAACUUAGUAAUGCUAGAAAUAAGAUAAAUAGCACUAGAGACUUUCGAUGAUCAUAUCAACCAACUACCUAGACUUAGCUCAAACUUAUAUCUUCACAGAUUGUAGGUUCAGAGUAAAUCUUCGAAUUAAAACAGUAAUGUCUAAAACUUAAGAAAAUCUAACGUUGGAAUCUACGUACUUGUAAAUAAUAGAGCAACUAUUCAUCAUUUCUAAGACAAAAUUUAAAUGUUAUUCAAUUUUUAUUUAGCUCUAGUUUAGACUGACUCUAAACAAACUCUAAUAUUUAACUAAUUAUAAACACAAAAAAAGACUCUAUGACUUGUGGACCUUCAUGUGCCCACAUAUUUUUGGUAUUUUUAUGACUAUAUAGACUCGAUAAUCGCUUAGAUAUAAUUACCUGAUAACUAGGGGAUGAUCCUCCCCCAAGCUGGAUGUUUGCAAUACUUGGUGUUGAUGUUCUUCAGAGUGAGCUCGCCAGUAGAGAACCUGGUGGGUGCCACACAUAGACUCUCUCCUUGAUAUGAUGUUAUUUCUGCAUAGUCAUACUCCAACAAGAAAACCAAAACUCGAGGCUCAUAUUUAAUAAUGGGUUAGUGGUCAGCCAGUGAGCAAUUGAUUAUUCUUAUAAGCAAAUUUUAAUGUUGUCUGAUUUAAUAGGAUUUCACUUUUCUCUUCUUUUUGAGUUUUCUAUUUAUGAUGCAAGAAUUAAAUAUGAAUGCUAUAUAUUUUUUAUGCCACCACAGUAAAUAUCCCUAAGGGGUUACCAUAAGUUUAUUCACAUGGGGCUUUAGUAUUUA
rnacentral:lncRNA from 1 species